GGUGAACGCUGGCGGCGCGCUUAAUGCAUGCAAGUCGAGCGUGACCCGAUGGGGGCAACCUGUCGGGGAAAGCGGCGAACGGCUGAAUAACGCGUGAGCAACUUGCCCUCUGGUGGGGUACAGCCCCGAGAAAUCGAGGUUAAUCCCGCAUACGAUCCCUAGGCCCUGGUCUGGGGAUGAAAGGCCCCGAUAAUAUCGGGGUCGCCGGAGGAGAGGCUCGCGUCCUAUCAGGUAGUGGCGGGGUAACGGCCCACCAAGCCGAUGACGGGUAGCUGGUCUGAGAGGAUGGCCAGCCAGGAGGGGGACUGAGACACGGCCCCCACUCCUACGGGAGGCAGCAGC
rnacentral:rRNA from 1 species